rnacentral:rRNA from 1 species
AACGAACGCUGGCGGCGUGCUUAACACAUGCAAGUCGAACGAGACGAUUGAAAGCUUGCUUUUGAAAGUCGAGUGGCAAACGGGUGAGUAACGCGUAGACAACCUGCCUUUGAGAUGGGGACAACAGUUCGAAAGGACUGCUAAUACCGAAUGUUGUAUAUUUUCCACAUGGAAGAUAUAUUAAAGAUGGCCUCUAUUUAUAAGCUAUCGCUCAAAGAUGGGUCUGCGUCUGAUUAGCUAGUUGGUGGGGUAACGGCCUACCAAGGCGACGAUCAGUAGCCGGUCUGAGAGGAUGAACGGCCACAUUGGGACUGAGACACGGACCAGACUCCUACGGGAGGCAGCAGUGGGGAAUCUUCCACAAUGGACGAAAGUCUGAUGGAGCAACGCCGCGUGAGUGAAGAAGGGUUUCGGCUCGUAAAGCUCUGUUGUCGGGGACGAAUGUGCAGUAUUUGAAUAAAGUACUGUAAUGACGGUACCUGACGAGGAAGCCACGGCUAACUACGUGCCAGCCGCCGCAGUAACAC